GGUAGGAACUGUAGCAGUGGUAGGUACUGUAGCAGUGAUAGGUCCUGUAGCAGUGGUAGGUGCAGUAGCAGUGGUAGGUACAGUAGCAGUGGUAGGUACUGUAGCAGUGGUAGGUACUGUAGCAGUGGUAGGUACUGUAGCAGUGGUAGGU